GAAGCUUCGCCAUUUUCACAAAAGCCAUAGCUGAAAUCGAGCAAAUAACCCUGAAAUCCGAAGCAUGGAGAGAGUAUCGUACACAUUAGCGAAGGGUACUAUAUGAGAGCACACAAAAUUUCGCUUAAAUCGCACCACCCAUCUCCGAGAUCUGGCGUUUCUGAAAACCAGGGUAAGGGGGAGGGUCCGCCCCCCUUAAGAUAUCAAAAAAUUUAGUACCCUAUUUUCACCACAGGGUCAAUAUGUACCAUCUGUGAAAAUUUCAAGAAAAUCAGUUCAGCCGUUUCUGAGUCUAUAAGGAACACACAAACACAAAUUGAUUUUUAUAUGUAAGAUAUAGAAUAGAAUAGACUGGGGCUGAGGAUGGAAGAUAACACAUGUGGCUUUAGAUUUCGUGGCAUUCCAAGCAAAAUGCUAAAAUUGGCAUUGUCGCCGACAACAAACAGAGGCUCAAAAUGGAAUCGACAAUUUU